rnacentral:SRP_RNA from 1 species
GCCAGGCACAGUGGCACGUGCCCGUAGUCCCAGCUACUUGGGAGGCUGAAGGCUAGUGGAUGGCUUGAGCCCAGGAGUUCUGGGCUGUAGUGCGCUAUGCCAAUCGGCUGUCCACGCUAAGUUCGGCACCAGUAUGGUGGCCUCCCGGGAGCGGGGGACCACCAGGUUGCCUAAGGAGUGGUGAGCCAGCCUAGGUUGGACGUGGAGCAGGUCAAAACUCACGUUCUGAUCAGUAGUGGGAUCGCGCCUGUGAAUAGCCACUGCACUCCAGCCUGGGCAACAUAGCAAGACCCCAUCUCU